GGUGCUGUGGCUUAGUGGUGAAGCGCCUGUCUCGUAAACAGGAGAUCCUGCGUUCUAUUCCCAGCAGUGCCU